rnacentral:sRNA from 1 species
UUGUUUCAUCCCUGCUAACACGGCAUCCAUUCUGCAGCCUAUGGAAUCAAGGAGUAAUUUUGUACCUACAGGUCUCCUUAUUUAAGAAAUACAUUUCAUAGGCUAUAGCUGCCAUAGAAGUGAUUUCUCUGAUGGAUCUGGGGAAAGUAAAUUUCAAACCUGGAAAGGAUUCAGCAUCCUAAAUGCUAUUCAGAACAUUUGUGAUUCAUGGGAGGAGGUCAAAAUAUCACCAUUAAAAAGAGUUUGGUAGAAGCUGAUUCCAGCCCUCAUGGAUGACUUUGAGGGGUUCAAGACUACAGUUCAAGUAACUGUAGAUGUGGUGGAAAUAGCAAGAGAACUAGAAUUAGAAAUGGAGCCUGAAGAAUUAACUGAAUUGUUUCAAUCUCAUGAUAAAACUUAAAUAGAUGAGUUGCUUCUUAUAGAUGAGUAGAGUAUUUUCUUGAGAUACAGUCUAUUCUUGGUGAAGAUGCUGUGAACAUUGCUGAAAUUACAACAAAGGAUUUUAAAUGUUACAUAAAUUUAAUUGAUAAAACAUUGGCAAGGUUUCCAAUUUUGAAAAAAAGUUCCGUGGAUUAGGUGCUGUCAAAUAGCAUCACAUGCUACAGAAAAAUCUUUUAUGAAAGGAAGCAUCAAUGGCUGCAGCAAAUUUCAUUGUCUUAUUUUAAGAAAUUGCCACAGCCAACCCCCACCUUAAGCAACCAUCACCCUGAUCAGCCAGCAGCCAUUAAUAUCUAGGCAAGACCCUCCACCCGUAAAAAGAUGAUGACUCACUGAAGGCUCAGAUGAUUGUUAGGAUAUUUUAACAAUGAAGUAUUUUUAAAUUAAGGUAUGUAUUUUCUUAGGCAUAAUGCUAUUGCACACUUAGUAAACUACAGUAUAGUAUAAACACAACUUAUAUGCACUGGGAAACUGAAAAAAUUAUGUGACUUGCUUUAUUGAGAUACUCACUUUAUUGUGGUGGCCUGGAACCAAACCCGCAGUAUCUCUGAGCAUGCCUGUGUUUGAUACAAUAGGAACUAUACUGCACAUAGUAAAAAAUGAGUAGUGUUAGUUCAAAGCGAUAGAUCAUUUGUAUGUCCAAAUUAAAGAAAAACAUGUAUGGGAAAAAGAUUGUCAUUUUUAUGUAAAUGAUAAGUGCUUUCUGAAUCGUAUUUGAAGAAAAGAAGAUUUUAUAAGUCCAAAGAAUCACUUAAUAUAAUGAAUAAAGGGUAAUAAUUUACCACUUUUGGAUUACCUUUUAUUUAAGACAUAAACUUUUCAAUUCAUAAACUAUUUAAAAUCUUUUCACUUAAGAUACCUGUUGAAAUUUUGUUUAGGUAUCUGGCCAGGAACAGUCUUCACGGGGACAAAGAAUUUUAUCUAUUCCAAUUUGGCCCCCAAACCUAGGUAUCUCACAGAACUGUGUGUAUGAGGUACAGCAGGUACCAAAAGUAGAAAAGACAGACAGUGAUCUGACACAAACACAGCUGAAGCAAACAGAGGUCCUAGUGACAGCUGAAAAAUUAUCUUCAAAUUUACAGCACCAUUUCAGCUUGUCAUCUGUUUAUUCACAUUACUUUCCUGACACUGGAAUUCCAGAAGUGACCACCUGUCAUUCCCGAAGUGCCAUAACUGUGGAUUAUAUUUUCUACUCCGCAGAAAAGGAAGAUGUUGCUGGGCACCCAGGAGCUGAAGUUGCUUUGGUUGGUGGCUUGAAACUUCUAGCUAGACUGUCACUUCUUACAGAACAAGACUUGUGGACUGUUAAUGGACUUCCAAACGAAAAUAACUCUUCAGAUCAUCUGCCUUUAUUGGCAAAGUUCAGACUUGAGCUCUGACUCUCUUUGAUCACAUACUAAUUUUCUUUCCAAUUUGUAUUGUUUUUCAAAGAAUGUAAAGUUCUUAAGUGUAUGCAUGUCGUUUAUUUUUGCACUGUGGAGAUUCUGAAGCAGUUAUGUUAGAUGCUUUGAAACUCCAUAUCAGAAGAAACAACUUUAUAACAAUUUUUUUAAUAAUGAAAAAUAUUUUCCUGACAAGUGAGAUCCAAAUACUCUUUAUUGUAAAAGAGAUGUAAAGGUUUUAUAUUCUAAAUCCUAGUAAAAUUGACAGUGAUUUUUAAAUAUAAUGCAUCUUCCUUUGUCUGCUUAGU